rnacentral:rRNA from 1 species
ACAGCUGGCGGCGUGCUUAAACAUGCAAUCGAACGGUGAUGCGGAGCUUGCUCUGCGGAUCAGUGGCGAACGGGUGAGUAACACGUGAGUAACCUGCCCCUGACUCUGGGAUAAGCGUUGGAAACGACGUCUAAUACCGGAUAUGACUUACGGACGCAUGUUCUGUGGGUGGAAAGAUUUUUCGGUUGGGGAUGGACUCGCGGCCUAUCAGCUUGUUGGUGAGGUAAUGGCUCACCAAGGCGACGACGGGUAGCCGGCCUGAGAGGGUGACCGGCCACACUGGGACUGAGACACGGCCCAGACUCCUACGGGAGGCAGCAGUGGGGAAUAUUGCACAAUGGGCGCAAGCCUGAUGCAGCAACGCCGCGUGAGGGACGACGGCCUUCGGGUUGUAAACCUCUUUUGGCAGGGAAGAAGCGAAAGUGACGGUACCUGCAGAAAAAGCACCGGCUAACUACGUGCCAGCAGCCGCGGUAAUACGUAGGGUGCAAGCGUUGUCCGGAAUUAUUGGGCGUAAAGAGCUCGUAGGCGGUUUGUCGCGUCUGCUGUGAAAACGCGAGGCUCAACCUCGCGCCUGCAGUGGGUACGGGCAGACUAGAGUGCGGUAGGGGAGAUUGGAAUUCCUGGUGUAGCGGUGGAAUGCGCAGAUAUCAGGAGGAACACCGAUGGCGAAGGCAGAUCUCUGGGCCGUUACUGACGCUGAGGAGCGAAAGCGUGGGGAGCGAACAGGAUUAGAUACCCUGGUAGUCCACGCCGUAAACGUUGGGAACUAGAUGUGGGGUCCAUUCCACGGAUUUCCGUGUCGCAGCUAACGCAUUAAG